GGCCGAGUAUCCAAGUAGUCUAAGGAGAAGGUCUGCAAAACCUUUAUACAUGGGUGCAAAUCCCAUCUCGGCCU
rfam:Candidatus Staskawiczbacteria bacterium RIFCSPHIGHO2_01_FTLL_36_16 rifcsphigho2_01_scaffold_9032, whole genome shotgun sequence.